UCUCCAUCAGUGACAAAAUUCAAAAGCUUCAGACUCUGCACCCUCAAACCCUCAGCCUUUCCUCUCACGAUUCACGAACGCGCGAACGCUCACCCUAGCCCUCAGUGACAAAAUUCCUCGCACGGUCUCGUCAGAGCGUCUUCGCCGGUCUUUGCUGGUCUGCCCCUAUUCUCUGUCGGGGAACGAACCAAGAAGAGAAGAUGAUCGAGGUGGUUCUGAACGAUCGAUUGGGGAAGAAGGUCCGCGUGAAAUGCAACGAUGACGACACCAUCGGAGACCUGAAGAAGCUGGUUGCAGCUCAGACAGGAACGAGGGCCGACAAGAUUCGCAUCCAGAAGUGGUACACCAUCUACAAGGAUCAUAUCACCCUCAAAGAUUACGAGAUCCACGACGGCAUGGGCCUCGAGCUCUACUACAACUAAAAUCCCUCUUCAAAGGUGCAAUUAAUGGCGUAUGUGCUGGUAACUGGAUAAAUCUGUGGAAUGUAACCUUUUGCUUUGUAAAAGACCCCUUUGAUUGGAAUAAUGUACAUACCCAAAUGAUAUUGGGUUUAAUUUGUUGUUGGAACAAUUUGUUAUAUAACAUAUAUUUGAUGUGUUCUUGUUGGAUUCAUAUUAAUUGAAACCUCCCCUUCUUAUCUUC